GUGUUAGAUCCAGAUGAUCGACACAGGCUCUAAAGCAAAUAGUUUUAAAUUACUUCAAUUUAUGAUUACUUUGUUGUCUUCUUAAUUGUGCAGCCUUGGUCGGGCUGGUUAAAUUUAAAUACUGCUUCUCAUGCCAGGACAAAGUACAAAGACUUAUUCUGCACGUCAGAAUAAUGUGUGCAAGUAGCUUUUGAGUGAGCAAACUACAACUUGAAUAUUUGUUUUAUCGGUUUCAUUAUCUUCAAUAAAAUAUGUUUAUUAUUUCAGCG
rnacentral:lncRNA from 1 species